rnacentral:rRNA from 1 species
GAACGCUUGCUGCAUGCUUUAUACAUGCAAGUCGAACGGAGGCCCUAGCUUGCUAGGUGUCCUUAGUGGCGCACGGGUGAGUAACACGUGGGAACAUACCUCAUAGUACGGAAUAACUGCGGGAAACUGUAGCUAAUACCGUAUAUUCCAGUAAUGGGAAAGAUUUAUCGCUAUGAGAUUGGCCCGCGCAAGAUUAGUUUGUUGGUAAGGUAAUGGCUUACCAAGGCUACGAUCUUUAGCUGGUUUGAGAGGAUGAUCAGCCACACUGGGACUGAGACACGGCCCAGACUCCUACGGGAGGCAGCAGUAGGGAAUAUUGGACAAUGGGGGCAACCCUGAUCCAGCAAUGCAGCGUGAGUGACGAAGGCCUUAGGGUUGUAAAACUCUUUCAUCGGUGAGGAUAAUGACAGUAGCCGAAGAAGAAGGACCGGCUAAU